rnacentral:rRNA from 1 species
UCCGUGAUAGGUCAUCUCAUCUGGAAGGAGAGAUGGCUUAAAGGGGUACGCGGGCUUCUUCUGCGUAUUCGCUCCAGGAUGGGACUGCGUCCGAUCAGGCUGUUGGCGGGGUAAUGGCCCACCAAACCCGUAACCGGUACGGGCCUUGAGAGAGGUGGCCCGGAGAUGGACACUGAGAGAAGGGUCCAGGUCCUACGGGGCGCAGCAGGCGCGAAACCUUCGCAAUGCGCGAAAGCGUGACGAGGUUAAUCCGAGUGGCCCCCGCUGAGGGGGUCUUUUGUCAGCUGUAAAUAGGCGGGCGAAUAAGGGGAGGGCAAGCCUGGUGUCAGCCGCCGCGGUAAUACUAGCUCCUCGAGUGGUCGGGGCGAUUAUUGGGCCUAAAGCAUCCGUAGCCGGUUCCGUAGGUCCUCUGUUAAAUCCACCCGCUUAACGGGUGACCUGCAGAGGAUACCGCGGGACUAGGAGGCGGGAGAGGCGGACGGUACUCCGCGUGUAGGG